AGAACGAACGCUGGCGGCAUGCCUAACACAUGCAAGUCGAACGAGACCUUCGGGUCUAGUGGCGCACGGGUGCGUAACGCGUGGGAAUCUGCCCUUAGGUACGGAAUAACAGUGAGAAAUUACUGCUAAUACCGUAUGAUGUCUUCGGACCAAAGAUUUAUCGCCUAGGGAUGAGCCCGCGUUGGAUUAGCUAGUUGGUGGGGUAAAGGCCUACCAAGGCGACGAUCCAUAGCUGGUCUGAGAGGAUGAUCAGCCACACUGGGACUGAGACACGGCCCAGACUCCUACGGGAGGCAGCAGUGGGGAAUAUUGGACAAUGGGCGAAAGCCUGAUCCAGCAAUGCCGCGUGAGUGAAGAAGGCCUUCGGGUUGUAAAGCUCUUUUACCCGGGAAGAUAAUGACUGUACCGGAGAAUAAGCCCGCUAACUCCGUGCCAGCAGCCGC
rnacentral:rRNA from 1 species